rnacentral:rRNA from 1 species
GUGUCAGCAGCCGCGGUAAUACGAAGGGUGCGAGCGUUGUUCGGAAUUACUGGGCGUAAAGGGUUCGUAGGCGGGACCUUAAGUCACGUGUGAAAUCCCUGUGCUCAACGCAGGACGUGCACGUGAAACUGAGGUUCUUGAGUGAUGCAGAGGACGAUGGAAUUGCUGGUGUAGGAGUGACAUCCGUAGAGAUCAGCAGGAACACCGGAGGCGAAGGCGAUCGUCUGGGCAUUUACUGACGCUGAGGAACGAAAGCGUGGGGAGCAAACAGGAUUAGAUACCCCGGUAGUCC